UAAGGCGGCCAUACCCUGAGGGGCUCCACUCCUUCCCAUCCCGAACAGGAUAGUGAAAUCCUCAGGGGUCGAUGGUACUCACCAAACUUUUGGUGGGGAGAGUAGAUCGCCGCCUUAC
rnacentral:rRNA from 1 species